rnacentral:rRNA from 1 species
CAGGGAUUGCCUCAGUAACGGCGAGUGAAGCGGCAACAGCCCAGAUUUGAAAUCCGGCACCAUUUAGGAGUCUGAGUUGUAAUCUGUAGAGGAUGUCACUGGCUAGCAGUACCCCCGAAGUCUUUUGGAACAGAGCGCCAUAGAGGGUGAGAGCCCCGUGCGGGGGAACUGAAUAGACAAAGUGUGACUCCUUCGGCGAGUCGAGUAGUUUGGGAAUGCUGCUCUAAAAGGGAGGUAAAUUCCUUCUAAGGCUAAAUAUCGGCCGGAGACCGAUAGCGCACAAGUAGAGUGAUCGAAAGAUGAAAAGCACUUUGAAAAGAGGGUUAAACAGUACGUGAAAUUGUUGAAAGGGAAGCGCCCGCGACUAGACUUGUACUCAGUUAAAUGCGCCACACGUUAGUGACGUUCAAACUGUGGUACAGGCCAGCAUCGAUUCGCGCUGGGAGAUAAGCAUAGUGGGAAUGUAGCUUCUUGCGGGGAGUGUUAUAGCCUGCUAUUCAGUAUCCUGGCGUGGAUCGAGGCCCGCGCUUUUAGCACGGAUGCUGGCGUAAUGGUCGCUGACGACCCGUCUUGAAACACGGACCAAGGAGUCGAGGUUUUCCGCGAGUGUGUGGGUGGUAAACCCGCCCGCGAAAUGAAAGUGAACGUAGGUGAGAGCUUUUAAAGGCGCAUCACCGACCGAUCCCAAUGUUCUCGGAGGGAAUUGAGUAUGAGCGGGGAGCCUCGGACCCGAAAGAUGACGAACUAUGCCUGCAUAGAAUGAAGCCAGAGGAAACUCUGGUGGAGGUUCGCAGCGGUUCUGACGUGCAAAUCGAUCGUCAAAUGUGGGCAUGGGGGCGAAAGACUAAUCGAGUCAUCUAGUAGCUGGUUACCGCC